UUGACGAAAGCCUUUUGCAGCUGAAAUCCGCAAAUGCCUUUAAUAUCCUCCCUGAGGCGCGCAAGAGACAAAAAUGACUUUAGAGCGACCCCGACCCUAUUUUACCACCCACAGACACACAAAAACGAACACAGCAAAAGUAGAAAACCCAAUCCCUGUGCUCUUUAUGAAACAGGCAUUUAAGAGCAGAAACAAGCAGUGCUCAAGUGGGAGGAAAUAUUUGCAAAACAAUGAAGUGAAAUGAUCUCCUGGGAAAGGUGGGAAGCAGGAGAAAGGCGGAGUGAAACGACAGGGAGUUUCUCAGCGCUUCGGCUCCACCCGGGAGACCAAAGCCCCGGACGGCUCAGCGGGAGGCUCAGAUGUUUCCCCCGCGCGGUAUCCUCUGUAUUCCGUCGCCAAGUACGGGUCCCAAAGGCGCUGGCUGAGAGCCCCACGUUCCUUCGUUGCAUCCUGGCUCUGCUUCUGCUGCGGGACUGUCCCUGGACCGCACAGGCCGGUGCACAGAGAGACAUGGCCAGCUCCACUCCUCCCCUGGCACCCACCUUCUGACCGCUCAGCACCUCUGUCCAUCUGCUGUCUACACGGACCGAUUCCUGCACUCUGCCUCCCUGCCUGCUCCCGUCACAUCCCUACCUGGCUGCUCUCGGAGGAGGAUCACACCGCGGCCCUUCCUGGCCUCCUGCUCAGCCUCCACCACAGUCUAUUCUGUUCAGCGAUUCAGAUCAUCCAUGUCCUGCACCAAGCCCGAGUCUCUAGCCUCGCUCUGUGCAGCCACAGCGUUUCCCAGAAGAAGUGGUAUGUGGCUGAGAGCAGGGGCCUUGGUGCAGACUGACCUGAUCCAGUCCUGGUGAUGCUGAUUUCUACACAAGCAACCUUUCUCUGCCUCCGUGUCCUCAUCUGCAAAACGGGGAUGGUGAUGCAGUAGUGCCUACUUUUUGGAGAGUAAAUGAUUUAAUACCAUGGAGUGCUGGGAACAGCGUUUGGCCUAAAGUGAGUCCAAGUGGUACACAGUACAAUGAUGCAUCAUGCGGUCAAUCUGGUGUUAGAUGUGUGACCUGCAGGAUCACUCCCAUUGGCCAACCAUUAUGAAGGUCAGAUGAGGCAACAGGGUGUGACAGGCCUUUGCAAAUUAUAAAAUGCCCCACAGUCACUCAUCCAGGCUCUACCUGGGGCAAAUUCCUUAAUAGCAUUUUUCCUCCCCAGGUCUCAUGUGCCUCAUCCUUUCCCAAGUACGAUGGACUGGACAUGAUGUUGAUAUUUGCUCUACUGGGUGAUGGGUGGAGGUGAUGUCUCCAGAAACCCAGGACCCAGGAGCACCACCAGGCCUCUGUGAACAGAGUUCAGAUGCAAUGGAGACAAAGCCCCUGGGUGAGAUGGUCCCAGGCCUCCUUCCAGAUCUGACAUUCUAGGGCCCAGGAAUGGUAUUUCUCUGAGGUCUUGAGGGAGAGAGGCUGGUGAGGCUGGCACUGCACACCCCAAGCCACACUAAUGCCCAGCCCCAAGCUCACUGCUCUGGGAGGUCUGCAGCAAGGGACACAUCCUCACAGCUGCCGGCCUCUGUGUGGCUCAUCAGGGCAUGAGGGAAAGACCCCGUAGAGCCCAGCCGGAGGCAUGAUUGUCUUAAGGCAGGAGGCUGCUGCAGAAAGAAUGGAAAUCUCGGAGACGCCAUGUCUAAGAAAUGUCAGCAGCGAGAAGUGUAUGUGCUGGCCGUGUCUGCACAGGGCAAAUGGCAGCAAGUGCUGUGGUCCUGAUAUAGUCUUACAGGGAAUCUAAAGGAUGGGCCACAGGAGAAUGGGAAGCCCAGCUGGGCGCCCGGGGCCAGCUGUGUCCACAAGACUCACUGUUCUGAGCUCUGGGCAUCGAGUACAGUGCUGGAGCCACCACGGCGACCAAACCUGUGCAGAUGACCCAUCAGGGUCAUCUGGAGGCAUUUGCACCCAUCAGCCUUAACUGCUAGCUUGCCACUCUCAGAACCUGUAGCUUUCACAUUUCCUAAGUAAAAAAUCACUUUUGUCAUAAAAGAAAUAAAUAUUCAUUGUAAAAGCAAAUAAUCCCGAGUACUGCCUUGCCACAUGUCACCUGGAGUUUAGAUGCUGAAAGGUGGCGGCAUGGACCUGCCUGUCACAUGCGGAGAUCCGUCAAGCAUUUCUGCCCACACCUGCUCUAUGAAGAGCUGAGCCAUGAGCCCAGCAUUCAAGGCUCCCUGUGUUCCCGGCCCAAGUGACAGAUAAGGGGACAGAAAUCAUUUCCUGCUGCCGUGAUCCACUUCCCCUCCCUGAUGCUGCCUGACUUAUUUUUGGGAAUUCCCCUCCCAUGUGGGACAGUUGCAGGAGGAGGGGAUUGCUGGUAACAUUUCCCUAGGGAAGCUGAGGGCGCAACCCUGCCUCCCGAUGCGGGUUUCCUGAGGUAUGAGCCCUGGCCUAAGUGACCCCUCACGUGCACUUUCCUGGGACUUUGAGUUUUGAGCAAGUGAGGGAAAGAAGCGGGGGGGAUCCCUUGUCCCAGGGGUAGCAUCCUGACCGUCCAGUUCUGGGUGGGGGCUGUCUCUUGGUGGAUUCUGUGGUUCCUUCCACUGUUCCCCACCCUCCUCUACUCUGGGAGGCUGGAGACCCUCCUGAUGGAGCCUUUUCUCCUCACGCUUUUCAGGCGCAUCCUUGUUACUCAUGGCCGAGACCCUUGACUGCACUGCAGUUAGCCCAGCCCUCCAGGUGAGGACAUCUUUGGAUUCCCAUGCUCCUGCUGCCAGAAGAUAUGAGACCCCUCCCAUGCCAACUCUUACAGGAUCCCUCCUCUGAAUCUCUGGAAUCUUCCCUCUGGGAGAAAACGAGGGGUCUCAGUGAGGUGACCUUCGGUCUUGCCUGGAAACAGCCACUCAGGGCAGCUGCAGGGGAGGACGGGAACCUGGGACCAAGACACAGGCCAUCUAAAGGAAGUCAGUGGUGGGAGGUGGGUCCAGGCUCAGAAGGGCAGAACCAGACCUGGGAAGCCAUCAAGAAAUGUGGCUGUCACUCUGCCCCUCUCCUCAGAGCCUCACGUGCUCCCUUGCCAGUUACUUCAUUCUUUUCUUCUUUUUGCCUCCCUGAUGACGUGGCUGAAAAUCGCAGCCCCCAUGGUCCCCAGAUGUGCAUUUCUUUAGUUCAGUGCCUUAAAGAGAUUCUGAUUGGCCUCCAGGUCGGAGGACUCUACCCCUUCCAGUCUGCUGUGGACAGGAGUCAGGUCACAGAGGGCAGCUGUAGGCCACGCCUGGGAGUGUGAGGAGGCUGUUGUCUGAGAAGGAUGUAAGGGCUGGGCAUGUGUUCCCAAAGCCAUCCCUCAAGAGACCUGGGAUUGUGCCCCUUGCUGGGGAGGAUGAUGGGCCAGCGACGUUCAGAACUUCCACCCGAAAUGGCUGAACGAAUUAACUCACCCCCAUAUGGGGGAAAUCUACAAACUACUUUUUAAUGAAUGGCCUCUUCAGAAACUGCUCUAGGGGAAAAGAUGACUCUGGUUCUUGCAGCCAAAGUCUGUUUCCCUUUGUACAAAGACUGAUUUGUAACACUCACCAUAAGCCAUUCAUUUUACUUUCGGGGAAUGAACUCCAGAAGAAGUUCUCUUUCGCAAGCCUAUCAAAUAAUAGGUGAUUUUGAGCAAGAGCUUUCAUAAGCAGUGUGUCAGGCUAACCCACAGUAAUGUGAGACGUUUAGAAAAUAAUUUGGUUCUCUCUCUUACU